rnacentral:rRNA from 1 species
ACUCAAAUGAAUAGACGGGGGCCCGCACAAGCAGCGGAGCGUGUGGUUUAAUUCGAGGCUACACGAAGAACCUUACCUGGGCUUGCUGCGCGUGGUAGGGAACCGAAAGGGGACCGACCUUCGGGAGCGCGCACCGGUGCUGCAUGGCUGUCGUCAGCUCGUGUCGUGAGAUGUUCGGUUAAGUCCGAAAACGAGCGCAACCCUCAGGGUACGUUACAAGUAUCGUGCCCGACUGCCCGGGAGAACCGGGAGGAAGGUGGGGAUGACGUCAAGUCAGCAUGGCCUUGAUGUCCAGGGCGACACACACGCUACAAUGGCUGGGACAAUGGGUCGCGAAGGGGCGACCUGGAGCCAAUCCCUUAAACCCAGUCGUAGUUCGGAUUGCAGGCUGCAACCCGCCUGCAUGAAGUUGGAGUUGCUAGUAACCGCGCGUCAGCAGAGUGCGGUGAAUACGUUCCCGGGCCUUGUACACACCGCCCGU